GAUGUGUCCAGUUGAUGUCUUUAUAUAAGUCCUUAUUCUCUUGUAUUUCGCGGUAAAAAUCUGCUGUGGAAUGCAUACAUGCGUUCCAUGUCUCCACUUGCAUCCAUUUCCUCCCUUCCGGCCACGCCGAUAUUGUAACGUCACUUCCGGAUUCUGGCGUCACUUCCGGGUUUUCCUCCGAGUGGAACGCACGGUGCGUUCCACUCCUUCUGAUACUUUCAGUUCACAUUGUGAGGCACCUCAGUGGGACGCAAAUAUGCGUUUCAAUCUCCCUCCACAUUAUAAUGUUUCACACAUCUUCUAUUCAUAUGGUAGGGCACUUCGGUGGAACGCAAAUAUGCGUUCCAACCUCUUCCUCUUCUCCCUCCACACUAUAAACUCUCAUAUACAUAGG